GGAUGGCCCCAUACCACCCUGAGCAUGCCCGAUCUUGUCUGAUUUCAGAAGUUAAGCAGGGUUGGGCCUGGUUAGUACUUGGAUGGGAAGAUGAGGUGGCCCCUUGG
rnacentral:rRNA from 1 species